UGGGUGCUGAGUUAUUUGCUGCUGGGUUGUGAUUUCCAUUAUAUUGUGCUGGGUUAUUUUGGACAACCCAAAGCGUUGGGUAGAAUUUUGAACACGCGCAACAAAGCCCCGCCCACAAACUUACUUCGUUCGGACCCCACAUUUCAUCUGAGGAGACCAAUUUCAGCACGGAGCAAGUUCGCUGAAAAGCAUCUAUGGAUGAGUUUAUCAGUUCCAAAUUGACUGAGAGGCAGCUACCAGGGCUGAUUGAAAGAUGCCAGGGGAGAAGUCGCCCUGACGCUUCUGCCCAUCCUGCUCCCUCCGCCUGUGUUUAAAAAGGGCAGGAAAUUGGUCCGGCCGAGUAUUCAGGAGGUGAAGAGAGCCUUCCUCGAUGUUAAGCCCGUAAGUAAUUUACCUUUCAAUAGAAAUUAAAAUGUAAAUGAAUUGUGAAAUGACUCCAGUUGUUCUUUUACACAGUUUUAAAGAAGGACUCUUUUUAUGAGGAGCUACUUGAAAAGAUUGUAUUUCGUGGAAUGUGUGACAACGUAACAUUUGGCUGUGUUUCUCAUUUCAUGAAGCACUAUUCUUACAAGUUGUAACUUGGUGUAAGUUGUUACUCCAUAGUGAUGUGUGACAUGUAAACCACAGACCAAACAUAAGACUGGCCAAACCCCCUGAAUAAAUUGUUGAACAACACGCCAUUGAAUUUACAGGUGUCAUACUUCUCCCUG